rnacentral:rRNA from 1 species
UUGUCGUCAGCUCGUGUCGUGAGAUGUUGGGUUAAGUCCCGCAACGAGCGCAACCCCUGUGGUUAGUUGCCAUCAUUCAGUUGGGCACUCUAAGCAGACUGCCGUGGAUAACACGGAGGAAGGUGGGGACGACGUCAAAUCAUCAUGCCCCUUAUGACCUGGGCUACACACGUGCUACAAUGGUCUGAACAGAGGGCUGCGAAACCGCGAGGUGAAGCUAAUCCCUUAAAACAGAUCUCAGUUCGGAUUGCAGGCUGCAACUCGCCUGCAUGAAGUUGGAGUUGCUAGUAAUCGCAGAUCAGAAUGCUGCGGUGAAUGCGUUCCCGGGUCUU